UUAAGCGACUAAGCGUACACGGUGGAUGCCCUGGCAGUCAGAGGCGAUGAAGGACGUGCUAAUCUGCGAUAAGCGUCGGUAAGGUGAUAUGAACCGUUAUAACCGGCGAUUUCCGAAUGGGGAAACCCAGUGUGUUUCGACACACUAUCAUUAACUGAAUCCAUAGGUUAAUGAGGCGAACCGGGGGAACUGAAACAUCUAAGUACCCCGAGGAAAAGAAAUCAACCGAGAUUCCCCCAGUAGCGGCGAUCGAACGGGGAGCAGCCCAGAGCCUGAAUCAGUGUGUGUGUUAGUGGAAGCGUCUGGAAAGGCGCGCGAUACAGGGUGACAGCCCCGUACACAAAAAUGCACAUGCUGUGAGCUCGAUGAGUAGGGCGGGACACGUGGUAUCCUGUCUGAAUAUGGGGGGACCAUCCUCCAAGGCUAAAUACUCCUGACUGACCGAUAGUGAACCAGUACCGUGAGGGAAAGGCGAAAAGAACCCCGGCGAGGGGAGUGAAAAAGAACCUGAAACCGUGUACGUACAAGCAGUGGGAGCACAGAGCAAUCUGUGUGACUGCGUACCUUUUGUAUAAUGGGUCAGCGACUUAUAUUCUGUAGCAAGGUUAACCGAAUAGGGGAGCCGAAGGGAAACCGAGUCUUAACUGGGCGUUAAGUUGCAGGGUAUAGACCCGAAACCCGGUGAUCUAGCCAUGGGCAGGUUGAAGGUUGGGUAACACUAACUGGAGGACCGAACCGACUAAUGUUGAAAAAUUAGCGGAUGACUUGUGGCUGGGGGUGAAAGGCCAAUCAAACCGGGAGAUAGCUGGUUCUCCCCGAAAGCUAUUUAGGUAGCGCCUCGUGAAUUCAUCUCCGGGGGUAGAGCACUGUUUCGGCAAGGGGGUCAUCCCGACUUACCAACCCGAUGCAAACUGCGAAUACCGGAGAAUGUUAUCACGGGAGACACACGGCGGGUGCUAACGUCCGUCGUGAAGAGGGAAACAACCCAGACCGCCAGCUAAGGUCCCAAAGUCAUGGUUAAGUGGGAAACGAUGUGGGAAGGCCCAGACAGCCAGGAUGUUGGCUUAGAAGCAGCCAUCAUUUAAAGAAAGCGUAAUAGCUCACUGGUCGAGUCGGCCUGCGCGGAAGAUGUAACGGGGCUAAACCAUGCACCGAAGCUGCGGCAGCGACGCUGAUGCGUUGUUGGGUAGGGGAGCGUUCUGUAAGCCUGCGAAGGUGUGCUGUGAGGCAUGCUGGAGGUAUCAGAAGUGCGAAUGCUGACAUAAGUAACGAUAAAGCGGGUGAAAAGCCCGCUCGCCGGAAGACCAAGGGUUCCUGUCCAACGUUAAUCGGGGCAGGGUGAGUCGACCCCUAAGGCGAGGCCGAAAGGCGUAGUCGAUGGGAAACAGGUUAAUAUUCCUGUACUUGGUGUUACUGCGAAGGGGGGACGGAGAAGGCUAUGUUGGCCGGGCGACGGUUGUCCCGGUUUAAGCGUGUAGGCUGGUUUUCCAGGCAAAUCCGGAAAAUCAAGGCUGAGGCGUGAUGACGAGGCACUACGGUGCUGAAGCAACAAAUGCCCUGCUUCCAGGAAAAGCCUCUAAGCAUCAGGUAACAUCAAAUCGUACCCCAAACCGACACAGGUGGUCAGGUAGAGAAUACCAAGGCGCUUGAGAGAACUCGGGUGAAGGAACUAGGCAAAAUGGUGCCGUAACUUCGGGAGAAGGCACGCUGAUAUGUAGGUGAAGUCCCUCGCGGAUGGAGCUGAAAUCAGUCGAAGAUACCAGCUGGCUGCAACUGUUUAUUAAAAACACAGCACUGUGCAAACACGAAAGUGGACGUAUACGGUGUGACGCCUGCCCGGUGCCGGAAGGUUAAUUGAUGGGGUNNNNNNNNNNNNNAGCGCAAGCGAAGCUCUUGAUCGAAGCCCCGGUAAACGGCGGCCGUAACUAUAACGGUCCUAAGGUAGCGAAAUUCCUUGUCGGGUAAGUUCCGACCUGCACGAAUGGCGUAAUGAUGGCCAGGCUGUCUCCACCCGAGACUCAGUGAAAUUGAACUCGCUGUGAAGAUGCAGUGUACCCGCGGCAAGACGGAAAGACCCCGUGAACCUUUACUAUAGCUUGACACUGAACAUUGAGCCUUGAUGUGUAGGAUAGGUGGGAGGCUUUGAAGUGUGGACGCCAGUCUGCAUGGAGCCGACCUUGAAAUACCACCCUUUAAUGUUUGAUGUUCUAACGUNNNNNNNNNNNNNNNNNNNNNNNNNNNNNNNNNAUCCGGGUUGCGGACAGUGUCUGGUGGGUAGUUUGACUGGGGCGGUCUCCUCCUAAAGAGUAACGGAGGAGCACGAAGGUUGGCUAAUCCUGGUCGGACAUCAGGAGGUUAGUGCAAUGGCAUAAGCCAGCUUGACUGCGAGCGUGACGGCGCGAGCAGGUGCGAAAGCAGGUCAUAGUGAUCCGGUGGUUCUGAAUGGAAGGGCCAUCGCUCAACGGAUAAAAGGUACUCCGGGGAUAACAGGCUGAUACCGCCCAAGAGUUCAUAUCGACGGCGGUGUUUGGCACCUCGAUGUCGGCUCAUCACAUCCUGGGGCUGAAGUAGGUCCCAAGGGUAUGGCUGUUCGCCAUUUAAAGUGGUACGCGAGCUGGGUUUAGAACGUCGUGAGACAGUUCGGUCCCUAUCUGCCGUGGGCGCUGGAGAANNNNNNNNNNNNNNNNNNNNNNNUGAGGGGGGCUGCUCCUAGUACGAGAGGACCGGAGUGGACGCAUCACUGGUGUUCGGGUUGUCAUGCCAAUGGCACUGCCCGGUAGCUAAAUGCGGAAGAGAUAAGUGCUGAAAGCAUCUAAGCACGAAACUUGCCCCGAGAUGAGUUCUCCCUGACUCCUUGAGAGUCCUGAAGGAACGUUGAAGACGACGACGUUGAUAGGCCGGGUGUGUAAGCGCAGCGAUGCGUUGAGCUAACCGGUACUAAUGAACCGUGAGGCUUAACCUU
rnacentral:rRNA from 1 species